rnacentral:lncRNA from 1 species
UAAAGGACAAUGGAAAGAGAUGAUUCCUAACAAGAGAACUACAACGUAGAAACCUAUCAGUUGUGGAUACCAACUCUAAUGACCAUGACAUGCACCUGUGCAUUAAGUGGCCUAAUCUGUCAAACAAGUCUGAUGUUCAACUCUUGCUGUACCUCUAAAACGUGAAACUGGGCUUCAAUGCUCCGAUUAUCCAAUCUGAUUCAUGAUCCUUAUUCGACUCGUACUGCCCGGGAGGUUUUCACCAUCAAGUCUCUCUCAUUUUGUUCUUUCUCUCAACUCACUGUCACCUUAUGGUGCUUGUGAAUAUUUUUACCAAUAAGACUCUCUCAUUUUGUUCUUUUCUUCUUAUUUUCUCUGAUUUUACAGAUGGCAAUGCAUCUAUCACGGUAAAAAUAUCAUGUGCUCCUGGC